AUGGAAAAGAAGAGGAACAGAGAAGAACAUAAGAGCAGAGAAGAGGAAGCUUCUAACCUGACGAUCAAAGAUCAAAUGAGCUUUACAAAGGAUGAGAUGCAUACUGCAGAGCUGAAACGGAAGAAAAAGAAGAAGAUCAAGAACCGUCGUGAAGCAGAAGAAGUUUUGCAGGAAAAUGGAAAAUCUGACAUGAGAGCCAAGGAGGAUUUAGACAUUUUGGGAAAAAGAAAGAGGGAAAUAACUGACAGUGAAGAAACGGAGCAGAUCCAGGCUGACACAGCUUUUAAUCCUCCUAAUGAGGAUGCUCAGGUGAGUAAAAAAAAGAAGAAAAAGUCAAAAAUAAUAAAGCUGUCAUUGGAACGGAUGGACGAAACAAGCAAGUGUUUGGAAGAUGCUGCUGCUCCUCAGGAAACAUCAGAGAAACCUGAGUCUGUAUUUAAUGAUGAUCCAACUGGAGAAGUGACUGAAGCAGUGACUAAUAAUACACACACCAGUUCACACAUAUCCAUGAAGAAGAAAAAGAAGAAGAAGAGUAGCCCUCAGUUUGUGGGUGUCCUGCUUAAUCAGGAUGAGGAGGAGGAGGAACCGCCCCAGAAACCAGCAGAGGGCGCUGAUAGUGCUUAUUUGGUGACUAAAAAGAGGAAAAAGAAGAAGAAAUCAAGUAUUUCCAUCUGCAGUGAAGCCUUGGCUGGAACUGAGGAUUCGGAGUGUGUCACCGCUUCCUCUCCUCAUGCUGAUGCAGAGGAAAAAGCCCUCAGCGGCCCCCGUGAUCCAACAUCAGCAGAAAUUAGUACAAGUUUAGAGGAAGACAAUGUGCUCAGGAAAAAGAAGAAGAAAAAGAAGAAAAUAGAGGCAGCUGAGAGGAAGGAUGAUGAGGAAACACAUCCAUGCCAGAGUGGAGAUGGAAUAGAGGUCAACAGGAAAAAGAAGGGGAAGAGAGAGACGCUGACCCUCACUGAAGCCCCCCACAGUGCUGCUGAUGUAGACGUGCUGGGAAAGAAGAAGAAAAGAGCACGAGAGCUUUCAGCUUUGACUGAUAAUGACUCAGUGAGGGUACCUGAGUCCACUCUGGCCUGCAGCUCACAAACAUCUCAGACAGAGCAGACCUCAGAUACACCCGGGAACGUGACAGGGGAGAGAAAAAGCAAAGCAUUGAAAUCAGAUUGUGUCAGUUCUGCACUGACUGUCACACACAGGAAGAACAAACAAGGCAAACGAAGACUUCAUAACCCGUGUGAAGACUUUCUAUCAGAGGGUUAG
rnacentral:lncRNA from 1 species